rnacentral:rRNA from 1 species
AGUAAUGCUUGGGAAUCUAGCUUAUGGGAGGGGAUAACUACGGGAAACUGUAGCUAAUACCGCGUAGAAUCGGGAGAUGAAAGUGUGGGACCUUCGGGCCACAUGCCAUAGGAUGAGCCCAAGUGGGAUUAGGUAGUUGGUGAGAUAAAGGCUCACCAAGCCGACGAUCUCUAGCUGGUCUGAGAGGAUGACCAGCCACACUGGGACUGAGACACGGCCCAG